rnacentral:rRNA from 1 species
UACGGGGGGGGUAAGCGUUGUUCGGAAUUACUGGGCGUAAAGGGCUCGUAGGCGGCCAACUAAGUCAUACGUGAAAUCCCUCAGCUUAACUGGGGAACUGCGUGUGAUACUGGAUGGCUUGGAUUUGGGAGAGGGAUGCGGAAUUCCAGGUGUAGCGGUGAAAUGCGUAGAUAUCUGGAGGAACACCGGUGGCGAAGGCGGCUUCCUGGACCGACACUGACGCUGAGGCGCGAAAGCUAGGGGAGCAAACGGG